UGAUCAAAAAGGUUGGGGCUGUAUUUACAUAGAUUCUGCCCAUUGUCUGAAGAAAUGUUUUGGCCUGAAACGUUGCCUAUUUCCAUCGCUCCAUAGAUGCUGCCUCACCCGCUGAGUUUCUCCAGCAUUUUUGUCUACCUGCCCAUUAUCAACACUGUUUUCAAAGUGCCCUGGUACCUAUUCCUUAAUGAUAGAUACUAGCACUUUGCCCACUCGAGGCUAAUUGGUUUGCAGUUUCCUCUCUCAUGCCUUAUUAAAACUUUGUCUCUGGAACUGGUGCUGAAAAUUAUGUAUUAUCUGAUCUGAUUGGAUAACAUGCAAAGCAAAGCUUUUCACUGUAUCUAGUAAGCCCAAUUUAACACGUCUCAAUCCAUAAGAGAGCCACAUUACCUUUUAUUCGUCUUUUCUUAUUUUUACUUAUUUGCAGACAUUUACACACUCUUUUUAUGUUCCACACUAGAUUAUUUAUUCUGAACUUCGAUCAGCCUCAUCAAUAUUUAAGAAUUUACAUACAAAUAGACCAAAAACAUACUACUGUGAGUGAAACUUGGCAACUCCUGGUCCUCACACUUCUGUAACCAGUUCAUUUUUACACAAUGCCAGUAAGCUUACGAAUGGCUGAAGUCUGGAUGGCUUUGAAGCAUGAAAAAAACUCUUUAGAAAAUGAAGGAAAAUAUCCUAACUGACUAUUUUAAGAUGAAAUGCUCAAUAAAUGGCAUUCACAAGCUAGACCAACAGGCCAUUCCAUUCGAUGUCCCUUCACAAUAUAAACAAAUGAUUUUUUCUAAGAGACCAGAUGUAAAAGAAAAAAAACCUACCCAAAAAUUCAGAAUGCCAUCAUAAAAACAUAGAAAAUAGGUGCAUGUGUAGGCCAUUCGGCCCUUCGAGCCUGCACCGCCAUUCAAUAUGAUCAUGGCUGAUCAUCCAACUCAGUAUCCAACUCAGCAUCAUCCGCCCACCUCAUUCCUCAUUGAAAGAAAACUAUCAGUGUAACCUGCAUUUUCGCCUUGCAUUAUAAAGUGCAAUCAUUAAUUUUGUUGUAAUUCGUAUUUCACUAUGCACACCCCAACCCUUCCUGGAAAAGUUAUUUCCUAAAUCGGCCCCAUCCGACCUCUGAGCACUAAACUUACCUAUAAUGUACCCCAUGUUAAAUAAAGGAUGAACAUUUUAUAAAGAAAACUGUACAGAAACAGUGACAUAUCAACAUAGGAAGAAUACAGUGUAUACACGCAGAUGGCUCAGGCUCUGUGCAGUAAUGGCCAGUUGGGGGCGAAUAAAGUUAAAUUAAAGUGGAAAUUAAAAUUAAACGGCGCAGAAGACGGAAAUUUUAAAAUAUGUUCUUAUGCCUAGGAUGGAAAUAAAUAAUUUUGAGUUAUUCGAUGCGGCAGUUAGUGAAGGUGACGGGCGGUAACCAUGGAGACUGGUAGUCGGGUCGGCAGGAGCCGCAGACUCAGCCUCUAUCAUUUGCUUGGUGGCCCCAUAGCAGGAACGUCCACGUCGUGGGGCUGGAAACUGGAAGUAUCCUGAGCUAAUUCUGCUACCACCAUCAUCUACUGCGACAAGCGAUGGCUCCCACUGAUUGUCACCGGAAGCUUGCGUCCUUUUCAGGACGGACGAUGACAGCGAGGCCAACAUUUGUAACAAGAUGGAUACGAAAAGAAGAAGAUUGACUUGAUUAUCCUUUUGCUCUUUAUUUCAUUCUAAAAUAUUUAAGAUGCUGCCUGACCUGCUGAGUUACUCCGCCACCCUGUGUCCAGAAUUGACUCCAGCCCGAUGGGAAUCCACAAUUCCAUGGAUCCAUCCAUCAUCAGAGAGAUUCGUAACAAUCCAGGACUGACUGUGUAGUGGAGCAUCUCACACUCUCCCCAAACACCCAGCAAGGCGGAGAGGGGUGCAGUGAACAUUUGAUGUCCGCGUCUGACUGAGGGAGGUGAAGAAGCAAUGACACCAUAAAACUGGAGGAACUCAGUGGGUCGGGCAGCGUCUGUGGAGGGAAUGGCCAGGCGACGUUUCGGGUCGGGACGCUUCCUCAGACUGAUGGAGUAGGAGGAGGGAGGAGGGAGGAGAAAGCUGCAAAAAAAGAGGGGACGAGAAAAACACUUAAGUUCUGGAACAGAUAAUAAUAAUUUUAUUGUCAUUGCACGUCAGUGCAACGAGAUUUAGUAUGCAGCUCCAACUGAUGAAAAAGAAAAGUAAAAUAAAUAAAUAAGCUGUGUGACGUGACCAUCCGAGGGAGACAGUCCAGGGGGGGGGUGGGGGGCACUCAGCAGGGCCGGUUCAGAGACGCUAUAGCUCUUGGAAUAAAGCUGUUUCUGAGUCUGGAGGUAAAACGUGCUGGAGAAUGAAGAAGGGUUUCGGCUUGAAACGUCGCCUAUUUCCUUCGCUCCAUAGAUGCUGCCGCACCCGCUGAGUUUCUCCAGCAUUUUUGUCUACCUUCAAUUUUCCAGCAUCUGCAGUUCCUUCUUGAACAUAAGUUCUGGAGCAACCAUCUUUGAUAGACCAGUGAAUGUGAGUGACAGACAGUUCAAGUCUGGUUCUGAACCUUAAUUAAAAUAAAUGUGAUGUCGUCACUGUUCUUCAGUCCACCAGCUUAGUCACUGUUUACUCAUAUAUAUAUAAAUUGUCACAGUCUUCUCCUCAUUGUUCUAAUAUACCAGAGAAAAUAUCUUGAAGACACGAGGAACUUGUACACAGGGGACACGAGGAACUGCAAAAGUUCAUGUUCGUAAGUUAAUAAGGUCUAGGAACAGAAUUAGACCAUUCGGCCCAUCAAAUUCAAUCAUGGCUGAUCCAUUUUCCCCUCUCAAUCCCAUUCUGCUGCCUUUUCCCCAUAACCCCUAACACCCUUACUAAUCAAGAAUCUGUUCAUCUCUGCCUUAAAAAUAUCCAUUGCCUUGGCCUCCAAAGCCGUCUAUGGCAAUGAAUUCCAUAAAAAGGCACAAAGUGCUGGUGUAACUCAGCAGGUCAGACAGCAUCUCUGGUGAACAUGGGCAGGUGAGAUCUUGGGUCGGGACCCUUCUUCAGACUGUUCCCCGGGGGCUUGAGUUACAGGCAGAGGUUGGGCAGCCUGGGACAUAUUGCUUUGGAGUGUAGGAGGCUGAGGGGUGAUCUGAUUGAGGUGUACAAGAUCACGAGGGGCAUGGAUAAAGUGAACGCUCGUAGGGUAGAGAUGGGCCGAAGGGCCUGUUCCUAUGCAGUACAGAUCUGCGGCUCUACUGUUA